rnacentral:misc_RNA from 1 species
UGAGAGAUGGCUAGUGCUCUU